AUGAUCCCAAGCUGUUUCACUUAAAAGUCCCAAUUGUGCUUUCCAGUUCGCUGUGUUCCAUCUUUCCACAUCCUCAAAACACAGAACACGUAUUCCUAUCUGUUCAAACGCUCCAUCAGAGCUUUAUUUAGUGUGGAAGGGCCCUUAAACAUCAAAUAUGUUCAGAUUGGCUGUGAUUUGUGUUGCAUUUCUGUUUUUAGUGAGGAUGGACAAAUUACUUGUAGCUGGAAAAUUGUUGCAGUGCACCUGGAUAUGACACAAUGGAGAUCUCGGAUUCAGUUUGGGGCGUGGCUACUGUAGCAGGCGGAGAGUUUGGGGCGUGGCUACUGUAGCAGGCUGAGAGUUUGGGGCGUGGCUACUGUAGCAGGCUGAGAGUUUGGGGUGUGGCUACUGUAGCAGGCGGAGAGUUUGGGGCGUAGCCACUGUACCAGGCGGAGAGUUUGGGGCGUGGCUACUGUAGCAGGCUGAGAGAUUGGGGCGUGGCUACUGUAGCAGGCGGAGAGUUUGGGGCGUGGCUACUGUAGCAGGCUGAGAGUUUGGGGCGUGGCUACUGUAGCAGGCUGAGAGAUUGGGGCGUGGCUACUGUAGCAGGCUGAGAGUUUGGGGCGUGGCUACUGUAGCAGGCGGAGAGUUUGGGGCAUGGCUACUGUAGCAGGCUGAGAGUUUGGGGCGUGGCUAUUGUAGCAGGCUGAGAGAUUGGGGCGUGGCUACUGUACCAGGCUGAGAGUUUGGGGCGUAGCCACUGUACCAGGCGGAGAGUUUGGGGCGUGGCUACUGUAGCAGGCUGAGAGAUUGGGGCGUGGCUACUGUAGCAGGCUGAGAGUUUGGGGCGUAGCCACUGUACCAGGCGGAGAGUUUGGGGCGUGGCUACUGUAGCAGGCGGAGAGUUUGGGACGUGGCUACUGUAGGAGGCUGAGAGCUUGGGGCGUGGCUACUGUACCAGGCUGAGAGUUUGGGGCGUGGCUACUGUAGCAGGUGGGGAGUUUGGGGCGUAGCUAUUGUAGCAGGCGGAGAGUUUGGGGCGAGGCUACUGUAGCAGGCGGAGAGUUUGGGGCGUGGCUACUGUAGCAGGCUGAGAGUUUGGGGCGUGGCUACUGUAGCAGGCUGUGAGUUUGGGGCGUGGCUACUGUAGCAGGCGGAGAGUUUGGGGCGUGGCUACUGUAGCAGGUGGAGAGUUUGAGGCGUGGCUACUGUAGGAAGCUGAGAGCUUGGGGCAUGGUUAAUGUAGCAGGCUGUGAGUUUGGGGCGUGGCUACUGUAGCAGGCGGAGAGUUUGGGGCGUGGCUACUGUAGCAGGCGGAGAGUUUGAGGCGUGGCUACUGUAGGAAGCUGAGAGCUUGGGGCGUGGUUAAUGUAGCAGGCUGUGAGUUUGGGGCGUGGCUACUGUAGAAGGCUGUGCGUUUGGGGCGUGGCUACUGUAGCAGGAUGAGAGUUUGGGGGUGUGGCUACUGUAGCAGGCGGAGAGUUUGGGGCAUGGCUACUGUAGCAGAUGGAGGCUAAAUAAAUUUAUAAUUUAUAAUAAAUACUGCGAUAUUCCAUAAAAAAACAACAAUUGUCAAUUUUGAUCUCAUGUUGACUUUAAACAUUCAAACAAUUUGAAACCAUUCAAGCAAAAAAACAGUUUGGUAAUUGUCUGCUGUGCACACAGAGAGUCGCAUUUCAGACAUAUUGCGUAAAUACCGAAUUGAGUUCUUUUGCGUCAUCUUGCGCUUUAGAAGACAAAUACAUAUGAAAUUAUGUCAAAACACCCGUUUUGGUCAGUGUCCUUGUAAACGCAAUCAGUUAUGUCUUAAGUGAACAUAAACAGUUGAUAAACAGUAUUCAGAUCCAUGUAUUAGCUCUUAAAGUGACAGCAGCUUCUGUCUGUGUCAUUAAUGUUAAUUGAACAAGAAUGCAAGGUUACACGGGUCAAAAAUAAUUAUAUUUUAUUUAUUUUUUUGUGUUGGGGCCAGUGAAUAUUUUGGCAGGACAAUUAAACAUUUGAACCACUGGCUAAAUCCUUAGCGUUGAGCCCUGUUUUGCUUCCAAUAUUUUAAAAAUGGAACUGGACAUUUUUUAAAUAUUGCAACCAAAUAAUAUUUACGACAUUCAGUUCCGUUAUAAGCUUUACCUUUGUCAGGACAAUCAUCAAAUUCCUUAUCAAAUGUUAUCUAUUUUUUUUUUCUCUUUAAAUUCCUUAUGAUUCUCAGCUCUGGUCUCCUUUCCUCCCUCCUUUUCCUGAUCCGCUGAAGCUGUACGCUCCACAAAUGACUUUUAAUUGUAUUAGGGGCAGCUGUGACACGGGGCUGUGGCGUGGGGGGAUUUUUGGAGGAGGGAGCGCGGGAGCCGCACUAAGCCUGCCCCCGGCUCAUAUCUGAGGGGUGUGCGGGGUCCUGAUAGCACGGCGGAGUGACGAGGGACAGGAGGAUUGGGAACGUCUUAAGCGGCUAAUCUGUUUGUGUGUUUGCUGAGGUUGGAUUGAGCUGUAAUGAGGGCUUCUGUAUCUGAAUAUGCCAGGCGUGCCGGAUAAAGAACUGAAGGGAAGAGGAGAGCAGAGAGGAGUGCUGGGGUAUGCUGGGAUGUGCCAGGUGUCUGGGCAGUGCCAGAGUGGGAUAAGCAGGUGUUUCACACUGUUAAUGUUUGUCUUGCAGUGGCAGGCUGGAUUUUGCCCGUCCGGCUUCACUUGAGUGUGGCUUUUUGUGAUAUGUGUAUCUUCUCGUCCAUUUCUCUUAUGGGGAGCAUUGAUGCCCUUUUUUGUUUUUAGUGAAUUCGGUAACACUUUAUUUUGAUAGUCCACUUUAGACAUUCUACUAACUACAAGUAAUUUUGCUACUACAUGUUAACUAGCAGUCAUUAAAGUAUUAGUAGACUGUCUGCUUAAUAUCUGCAAACACUUUAUUUUGAUGCUCCCAAACAGACAUUCUACUGACUAUUAGUGACUUUGCAACUCAUGUCAACCUAUUCCUAACCUAUAUAAUGAGAGUUAGUUGACAUGUAGUUGCAAAGUUACUUGUAUUUAGUAGAAUGUCUAAAGUGGACCAUCGAAACAAAGUGUAACCAUGAUAUUUUUGUUCCAUAUUUACAAAUAAAUCAAAUAGAAAAUGUAUUCUCAAAUAAAUAAAACAUGAUUCACAAAUUAAUACUCAGAAUUUCUUGGAAAUAAAGCAACUAUAUGAUGAGAUUGGCAAAUAUUUUUUAGUGGAUUCACAUUUAUUUCUUUGCUGUCUUGCUGUGAUGAAUGCUUUAUAAUCCUCAAAUGUACAAUCUAGAAAUUAAUCUGCACAGUUUGCACAAAGAUCAUGUAAAUUUAUUGUUUUUGGGUCAAGUAAUUUGACUAAUGUUAUAGCAGGAAGCAGCUAAGGAAAAAAAAAAAAUCCAAAAUAUGUUAUUGUGAACUCUGUGAAGUUUCCUACCGAGUGGCAUUGCCUACACUGUAAACCCUAACACUCAUAAUUAUUAAUUGGUUUGAGUAGGACAAACUCAAAUGAAACAAAUUAGUUAAAUCAAAUGAACUUUUACAAGUAUUUAGAACUUUCUUUUUCAUUUGAGUUCAUAAAACUGACACAUUUUAAGUGAUCUGAAUUGUUCAUUGUUUUGAGUUUUAUGAACUUGUUUCUUUUAAUUAAGACAAACUUAAAUUUACCUGAAAGUGGGCUGGUAUUUCUAUUUCCCAGCAUGCUUUGCCAUGACACUCAAAAGGGAGAAUAAAUGCUAAAAUUAAGUGUUCUAUAAUGUUUUUUUUUGUACAAGAUUAAUGUUAAUUGGGGGAUUUUGUAGAGUUUAAUGCUAAAUCUUGGCGCUGAUAGUCUUGUAGGCAGUUAAGUUAAGAUUACAUGAUAAUUUUAAGUUUAAUGUAUUAAUUAACUUACUCAAAAAUUUAAAGCUAAGAGCAAUUAAAAUGUAUGAGUACAAAAUUGAAAUCUGCCAGUUCUGCUUACUUAAACUUUGAA